UACGUAGGGUGCAAGCGUUAAUCGGAAUUACUGGGCGUAAAGCGUGCGCAGGCGGUCUUGCAAGACAGAUGUGAAAAUCCCCGGGCGUUAGCCUGGGAACGUGCAUUUGUUGACUGCAAGGCUGGAGUGCGGCAGAGGGGGGAGUGGAGUUCCGCGUGUAGCAGUGAAAUGCGUAGAUAUGCGGAGGAACACCGAUGGCGAAGGCAAUCCCCUGGGCCUGCACUGACGCUCAUGCACGAAAGCGUGGGGAGCAAACAGGAUUAGAUACCCCAGUAGU
rnacentral:rRNA from 1 species